GAUGAACGCUAGCUACAGGCUUAACACAUGCAAGUCGAGGGGCAGCAUUAUCGAAGCUUGCUUUGAUAGAUGGCGACCGGCGCACGGGUGAGUAACGCGUAUCCAACCUUCCCUAUAGUAGGGGAUAGCCCGGCGAAAGUCGGAUUAAUACCCUAUGUUAUUCGAUGCGGACAUCUAAGUUGAAUCAAAGAUUUAUCGCUAUAGGAUGGGGAUGCGUCUGAUUAGCUUGUCGGCGGGUAACGGCCCACCGAGGCAACGAUCAGUAGGGGUUCUGAGAGGAAGGUCCCCCACAUUGGUACUGAGACACGGACCAAACUCCUACGGGAGGCAGCAGUGAGGAAUAUUGGUCAAUGGGCGCGAGCCUGAACCAGCCAAGUAGCGUGCAGGAAGACUGCCCUAUGGGUUGUAAACUGCUUUUAUGGGGGAUAAAGUCCGCUACGCGUAGCGGUUUGCAUGUACCUCAUGAAUAAGGACCGGCUAAUUCCGUGCC
rnacentral:rRNA from 1 species